rfam:Rattus norvegicus strain BN/SsNHsdMCW Contig143062, whole genome shotgun sequence.
UAUGCAGAAAUGAACUUUUCCCAGAGUUCCAAAAGAAUUUAAUAUUUUUAGUUGAAUUCAGUAAACAGAAAGAGACAUUUGGUGACACAUAAGGAAUAAAAUGUGUUCUUUCCCAUGGAAAUGGGAAUAUAAUAAAUGUCCUGCAGGUGAUUGGGCCCAUCGCAAUUUUUGUGAAGAUUAAAGUUUGACUGACCUUUGUUAGGGUGAUUAACCUUUCUGAAAUUAAAAACUCCAUCUGAAUUAGUCUGUCUAAUUUAAAUGCAAA